UUAGAGCCUAAAAACUCUCCAAACCCACUGUAAACCUACCCGAAGAGUUGCUUCGGCAGGCGAUCCCUCGGGGGGGAUCGUAGCCCGCAAGGGCGCCUGCCGGCGGCAUCAACACUAAACUCUUGCCGUAUCGUGUCCUCUGAGGAGAAAAACAAAUAAGCAAA
rnacentral:misc_RNA from 1 species